rnacentral:lncRNA from 1 species
UUCGGCCGAAGUAUCGAGCGUAAUAAAGGAAAGCGUUCCUAUACGACUCAAUAUAAUCAUAUAAGAAGGAAUAAUCACAUUAGGGGUUUGACAUAAUAUAUCCAUACCCGAGUAAUGUGAUUGAGAGUAUUGUUUUAGAGAAUGAUCGAAUUACAUUGUAAUUCCAACUGAAUAGGUUCUUCGAACAACUUCUACAUUAGCUUGGGUAGCUAUGACAUAUGGUUAGAUGUCACUCAUAGCUUGUGAGUUC